CUCUGUUUUCCUCCAGCACGUGAACAAGGAUGAGGAAAGCGUGAGCAUCUCCUUCCCUUUCCUUUUCCCUUUCUCCUCAAUUGAACCAGAGCAAAACCCUAGGCUCCCUCUUCCCCUUGUGCCGCCGCUGCCUCCUCUGCUCCUCCAAGCGCCCAGCCAGAACCACAUCCGAGAGCCACCAAAAGUUUCGCCGGAGAAGACCAAGACCGCGCCGUCGAACCAAACCGCUGCGUCGCCGUCCGAGCACGGGGAUGGAGCCGCCGUGGCGCCCUCUCCCUCCUCGCUGAACCGGAGCUGGAGCUGCUCGAGAACGUCGCCGCCGCCAAGACGUACCUGGAGCGCCGCCGUGCACGCCGACGACCUCCGCUUCGCCCCGCUGUCGUCUCCAUCCUCCCCAACCUUCUCCCUUGACGUGCUCGCCGUGUGUGCUGCCAGAGCCUCAACAGCGUCAUCUUGGUCGGGCUUCGUCUGGUUUCUUUCAAAGGGCUGAGCCCCUCUUCAGUCAUCAGUUAAUCUAGCAGUUCGCCUGUUCCAUCUGCACCUAAGACGCCGGUAUCGAGGAGUACGGCGAGA